rnacentral:rRNA from 1 species
UACGUAGGGGGCAAGCGUUGUCCGGAAUUAUUGGGCGUAAAGAGCGUGUAGGCGGCCAGGUAGGUCUGCUGUGAAAACUCGAGGCUCAACCUCGAGACGUCGAUGGAAACCAUCUGGCUAGAGUCCGGAAGAGGAGAGUGGAAUUCCUGGUGUAGCGGUGAAAUGCGCAGAUAUCAGGAAGAACACCCGUGGCGAAAGCGGCUCUCUGGAACGGUACUGACGCUGAGACGCGAAAGCGUGGGGAUCAAACAGG